GAUUUGGGGGGGAAGAUUGACGAAAAAUUGAAUAACGUAAAAAGUUGUAUACAAGCAACUCGAUCGAGACCGUUCUGCACGUUUUGACCUUGGAAUGGAGUUUCUAGCUCAAAUGCUGUAUGAGUAGUAUGUGGCGGCGGAAUAAUAAUAAUAAUACCUAUUAUAAGUAUGUCGAAUACUGAAGAGGACCAAUAUAGUAAAUUACUAUACACCUUUAUAGGAUUAGGGUUCAUGUUUCCACACGGCCAUAUCUCCAUGUUACAGCGCGUGUUUACGGAAGACAGGCCGCCAUUUUUGCUAAUUAGCCAUCUUGAGUGCUCCGAACACCUGUGUGUAAGCUAACUGGGAGGAAGUGUAGUUGGUCAACCGGAGGCACACACAGUAUAUUGAUCUGUGCCAAACUGAUACCGUUUUUAUUUGCAAGCUUAUUUUUUGCUGACAAAGAUAAGAGGCAUGUCAGCAUAUCUUUCGAAACCCGUUUGAUUAUUGAGGUUUAACGUUAAAACAGCGUUGGAAUUGAAAGUUUACACUGAGCCAAAUGUGAAUGAAUGUAACGUUAAUGGCCCCUAACUUACGGAGAGGAAAGAUAUCGUCUAGAACAGACAUGUGUCUUUGUACGCUCCAUUUAUAUCUACCGUUACUGUUUAAAAAAAAGGUACAUUCAGACACACAGCAGGGCUAACUAAAGCAGAACCAAAACCACAGCCUAGUUCUAUUCUGGUCAUGCCCCUUCAAUGGGUACACUGUAUACAUCUGAGAAGAGUGAAAACAAUAUGGUGGACUGGUGGUCAAGGAUCAACGUACACAGGGAAGACUAAGGAUUUAUAGAUGUUACAUCAACUUUAGCACCAGAAUACUGUAAUGUACCGGGCAGCCCCACAUCGCUCUAGUCAACACUAACUCCCUUUAUAACAACCACAGCCUAAUGGAAUUAUCCACGGCUUUAAAAAUAAAGUUUUUUUUUUGCUCCGUCUCCGGAGUCUAUAAACUAUGCAGCGCUUCUAUUGGCUUAAAAAUAGCCAACUUUCUAGCGGAGUAAAGUUAUUAGCUUUACAAGUGCAUUUCACUUGACAGGCAAGCUCAUUGGCUUACUAUUUAAUCGUUAAUUUAAACGGGUUGGAUGUGAUGUAAACACGAAAAACGCCCUGCAGAACGUUAAAGUAGUCAGAUGAUCCCAGAUGUUCCAUCGCCCAAACUAUGGAUCAGGGAGAUUGAAACAUUGUACUACCAACACCCUACUACCCGGCCACAGUGGAAUGCACCGGACGCUUUUCCCCACCCCCGGAGAGCUAUGGACCAAUCGAAACCCAGCGUCCUGGAGCCCCUGUAGAACGCUGAACCAAUAGCGGACCACCUCAGCCUCUGUCCCGCCGACCUCAAAGCCGGCCCACUGGAGGUGCACCGUGGCAACCAGGUGACGGAUGCGCCCCAGAGUUCCGAGCUCUGCCCAGUUUUGCAGAACCCUCCACUCAGCACUCAGCAGAAUCUUCCCUGAUGAGUCCCGUCUCUGCCAGUUCUGUGAUGGGUGGUUCAGACCAUGAGUCGGUUGAUACAAUCAUUUUGAGUGAGGAUGGAAGCCCCUCGCGAAAGUGUCAAAGAUCUGAUGACGAAGCAAAAAAAUCUAAUAGAGAGCAUAGUGAAGAAAAAGCCAGGUGGAGAGGUUGUCAUCAAGGAAUACUCCAAAACUAAAAGCCCCUGACUGACUGCACCAGACGAAAGAUGAUCAACAUUCUUGUUUCGGCGAUGACAGAGACUCAUGGGACAUCACCACGGCGCAGUGGGAGAGAAACGUUUGCACAAGGCAUCGUCUCUUUGUUCCCAUACCUGAAGGAUCCCUACACUGAAAAUGGAUAUGCAAGUAUACAUUACGACUGAUAAAGGGCAUCUGCGUUUAAUUCGUCUGGUAUGGUAUCUGAGCAAAUGGGACUUGGCUAUUUGUUUUUUCUUUCAAGAUUAGUAACCAUGUUCAUUUUCAUAAGGAACAUUAUUACCACCCUAAUAGUGGAGAAGGGUACCUCUCGUAUAGAAUCAAAACCAUUCAGAGGAAUUUGGUUUCAUCAGAGAAACAGCCCACUCAACUAUACUCUGGAGGGCCAACUGCUGAGAGGGAGUCCAGUCCAUCCACUUUGGCUACCCUGAGUGAAGACCAGUGCCGAGAGGCCAUUUCUCUUAUGAAGCAUUCUUCUGGUGAAGAAACAGAAGAUGAGAUUGACCUUUGAGUACAGGAACAUGACCCACAACCCGAGUAAAUGCUCCACCAUCCUAUCCGAAUUUCCACGCUUUCUGGAUGUGAAGGGCUUGGUAAGACUUGUUUCAGAUUGAACAGGAUUUUGUGCUGCUGUUUGGAGAGGGAACAUCAGCCAAGGUUUUGGAGAGGUGGCCAACUACAUUCAAUCAAAAGAUCAUCAUGCUAAGCAAGGCCCUAAGCAAGGCCCUAAGCAAGGCCACUCAGGGAGCUGAACUUCAGGAGCUGAUCCAGAUGGCAGAAUCUGCAGUUGAUGAGGGAACUGACAUGAAUGCUUACGGAUGGGAAGGUGACCUUUCCUCCAUCCUUCUGCUCCAUUUGAUUCCUCCUUCAUCACAAGGCCGCAAAAGACCAGGCAAGAUGUCUGCAUCUCAAGCUGAACAGCAUCUUGUGAUAUUCCAAAAGGCAGGAACCAGUAUCCAGCAGCACCUUGAUGCGAUUGACCAGAGCCGCCAACCAUAUCUUCUUGCAGUCGGGACCAGGAAGAGCAGCAUCCAUGCUUACUUCAUCAUCCUGGACAAGAGCGCCUUACAAGUCAACGAGCGCUCUUGGUGCUUCGAUGAGCUUUUCAAGACUCACUUUGUUUUUGGUACUGCUUACAAUACAAUGCUGCACAACAUGUACACCUUCAUACAGACAACUGUGUACAUCAUAGACAUUGGGAAGGUUAAGGAGACUCCAAGGGUUGCUGAGCUCAGAGCUAGACCUCUGCACUAAUGCUGAUAUGUUUUGUUUGCCAUGCUAGUCAUGGAAGUACCAACUUGCUCGUAAGGCAUCUCAAGUUGAUACAUGGAAUGUUCCCUGUUAGAACUCUUAGAAUAAAAUGUGGUCAAGCAGAUUGUUGUCGUGUAUUUGGUUGUCGUGUAUUUUCGGACUUUAGGAAGCAUUUGAACAGGGCACAAUCCCGAGAAUGUCAAAUUUUGUUGAACGCUAACUUGAAUGCUAAUACAGCUGUUGAUAAUUA